rnacentral:rRNA from 1 species
UACAGAGGGUGCGAGCGUUAAUCGGAAUUACUGGGCGUAAAGGGCGCGUAGGUGGUUAAUUAAGUCAGAUGUGAAAUCCCCGGGCUUAACCUGGGAAUUGCAUAUGAAACUGAUUGGCUAGAGUGCGGGAGAGGGAAGUGGAAUUUCCGGUGUAGCGGUGAAAUGCGUAGAUAUCGGAAGGAACACCAGUGGCGAGGGCGACUUCCUGGCCCGAAACUGACACUGAGGCGCGAAAGCGUGGGGAGCGAACAGG